UACGUAGGGUGCAAGCGUUGUCCGGAAUUAUUGGGCGUAAAGAGCUCGUAGGCGGUCUGUCACGGUCGGCUGUGAAAUCCCGAGGCUCAACCUCGGGUCUGCAGUCGAUACGGGCAAACUAGAGUAUUGCAGGGGAGACUGGAAUUCUGGUGUAGCGGUGAAAUGCGCAGAUUAUCAGGAGGAACACCGGUGGCGAAGGCGGGUUCUCUGGGGCCGAAACUGACGCUGAGGAGCGAAAGCGUGGGGAGCAAACAGG
rnacentral:rRNA from 1 species